rnacentral:SRP_RNA from 1 species
GCCGGGUGCGGUGGCGCGUGCCUGUAAUCCAAGUUACGGGAGGUUGAGACUGGUGGAUCGUUUGAGCUCAGGAUCUCUGAGCUGCAGUGGACUAUGUCGAUCGGGUGUCCCAAUAAGUUCGGUAUCGAUAUGGUGCUCCUGGGGGAGGCCGGGACCACAGGUCGUCUAAGGAGGGGUGCACCGGCCCAGGUCGGAAACGGAGCAGGCCAAAGCCCCGUGCCGCUCAGUAGUGGGAUCGCGCCUGUGAAUAGAGGCUGUAGUGAAGCCUGAGUAAUACAGCGGGACCCAGUCUUUU